CCGAUCUACUGCUUUAACUUGGCAUAUGCACUACAGCCACCUAUCAAAAAGAGGUUGCAUCCAUUUCUUGAGCGGACUGAUGUCAUUGCCGCAGCUGUCAUGGGCCCCAGGUUUCAGCUGGCAUAGAUGCCAUGUAAGGAAAAGGUUUCCAAGAUUGUGGACUUAAUUAUUUCCGAGUCAGCUCAGUCGACCUUGAAGAAGAAAACAUUUCAAGAGAGUGAGCCUUUCGUCUUUUCGGCUGGCAUGAGUGCAACACGACCUCGUCUUUUUGCUUACAUGCCUCCAGCUGGGCAAAUGAUGGCCAGUGCAUCAUCAAAUGACACUACAGUGGUGAAGGCAGAACUUGACACGUACCUAGAAGAAGGUGUUUUGGCUUUUGAUGUCAAUCCACUGAGGUACUGGCGUGAUGCAAAAAGCUUCAAAAAUUUGAAGCACUUUGCCAAGAAUAUUCUAGGGUGCUGUGCAACAACAUGGACGCCCCGGGAAGCAUGUCACAUCCACGAACAUAAAAAAAAGUCCCCGCAGAGAAAUUAAACAGCUGUCGUGAUGAUAACAGAAAAAGAGCAAAGGGCGGGAGGCGAGGGGGAUGAAGGGGAUGGAGGGAGAAUGGAAAGGAAAGGGGGCUGAUGAAGAAGUUUGAAAGAAAUAUAUGUAUAGAGAGCAAGGAUGAAAUAAAGGGAGAAAUAUAAUGAAAUAAAGAAGAGAAAAGUAGAGGAACAAACGACUAAAGAGAAGUGGCAGCCCAAUACAAAUGUUAGGAAACUUUAGUGGGCCGUCCUCGUGAGUCAAAACGCUCACUGGUGUUCUCCCUCAGCAGGUGUGUGAAUGCAAUGUACCUGAAAGACGUUAAUUGGUGAACCAAUUCUUACUAUGUAAAAUCAAUCAAUCAGUCAAUCAGAGAAAGAAAAUAUAAUUAAAAAGAAAAACUGGAAGUAAGAAAGAAAAGGGAAAAGGAUGCUGCGCCGGAAGCCGCGGCGAGGAUUCCUUAUGAUGCUUGUGCGCGUCCCCGAGGCCCAUCGGUCCUUCAUCCAAGAACCGAUAAACGCGGUGACCGGCGCCUUCACGGCAUUUAUGAUUAAUUUUAUAAUCCAGUCUGGUAGUUUUAAGAAGCGAGUUCUUGCAUCCGCCCUAUUCGAAUCGGCGGGGCGGUGGAGCGCCAGCGAGCCAAAGGUCUCCCAGGCGAGCAUGGCAGGACUGGAGGGCUCCCGGCAGGGCGCCUCGGCGUCCAUCGGGACCCCGACGGAGGUGCCGGAGAUCUUUCGGCUACAACGCCGGGCAGGUGGGGCUCGUUAGCCGUGGUAGGCAAUCUGCCUAGGAGAGCAAACUCCGAACAACAAACCAGGGCAGGUGAGGUUCGUUAGCCGUGGUAGGCAAUUCACCUAGGAGAGCAAACUCCGAACAAUAAACCCGGGCGGGUUGGGCUCGUGAGCCGUCAUAGGUAAUACACCUAGGAGAGCAAACUCCGAACAAUAAACCCGGGCAGGUGGAGCUCGUCAGCCGUGGUAGGCAGUCUGCCUAGGAGAGCAAACUCCGAACAAUAAACCCGGGCAGGUGGAGCUCGUCAGCCGUGGUAGGCAGUCUGCCUAGGAGAGCAAACUCCGAACAAUAAACCGGGGCUUGUGGUGCUCGUUAGAUGUCGUAGACAAUCCACGUGAUGGGAACACCAAAGAAAAGGAAAAUAAAAAGGAACACCAGAAAAAGGAAAAUAUAGUAACAAAACAUCAAGAAAAUAAAAUAAAAAACACAGAUCAUCCACCUUCAGGCCCUAACAUCUCCAAAAUUAUGGAUGAGUCUUUUCUGGGGAGAAAGAGGCUCAUCCAGACCAAAGAACAUCAAAAAGGGA